rnacentral:misc_RNA from 1 species
GAUGAAGAAUGCAGCGAAAUGCGAUAAGUAAUGUGAAUUGCAGAAUUCAGUGAAUCAUCGAAUCUUUGAACGCACAUUGCGCCCGCCAGUAUUCUGGCGGGCAUGCCUGUCCGAGCGUCAUUUCAACCCUCGAACCCCUCCGGGGGGUCGGCGUUGGGGAUCGGCCCUUUCACCGGGUGCCGGCCCCUAAAUACAGUGGCGGUCUCGCCGCAGCCUCUCAUGCGCAGUAGUUUGCACACUCGCACCGGGAGCGCGGCGCGUCCACGUCCGUAAAACACCCCAACUUCUGAAAUGUUGACCUCGGAUCAGGUAGGAAUACCCGCUGAACUUAAGCAUAUCAAUAAGCGGAGGA